rnacentral:rRNA from 1 species
ACAAAAACAUGGCCUUUUGAGUGGAAUUUAAGGUCGGGCCUGCCCACUGACGUAGUUGAAGGGCCGCGGUAUUUUGACCGUGCAAAGGUAGCAUAAUCAUUAGUCUUUUAAUUGAGGGCUGGAAUGAAUGGUUUGACGAAAUAUUAACUGUCUCUUUAUAAUAAAUGGAAUUUAACUUUUGAGUCAAAAGGCUUAAAUGAAUAUAAAAGACGAGAAGACCCUAUAGAUCUUUAUAUAGUUAAGUAGUUGUUUUAUUUAGUUGUUUUAUUUUCAAUUAUUUUGCUGUAUUUUGUUGGGGUGACAUAAAGAUAAAAAUAACUCUUUAUAAUGGGAACAUUGAUUUAUGAGUGAUUGAUCCGUUAUUAACGAUUAUAAGAUAAAGUUACCUUAGGGAUAACAGCGUAAUUUUUUUUGAGAGUUCUUAUCGACAAGAAAGAUUGCGACCUCGAUGUUGGAUUAAGGAAUAUGAUUAGGUGUAGCAGUUUAAUUAAUAAGUCUGUUCGACUUUUAAAUCCUUACGUCAUCUGAGU